rnacentral:rRNA from 1 species
GACGAACGCUGGCGGCGUGCUUAACACAUGCAAGUCGAACGGAAAGGCCCUGCUUUUGUGGGGUGCUCGAGUGGCGAACGGGUGAGUAACACGUGAGUAACCUGCCCUUGACUUUGGGAUAACUUCAGGAAACUGGGGCUAAUACCGGAUAGGAGCUCCUGCUGCAUGGUGGGGGUUGGAAAGUUUCGGCGGUUGGGGAUGGACUCGCGGCUUAUCAGCUUGUUGGUGGGGUAGUGGCUUACCAAGGCUUUGACGGGUAGCCGGCCUGAGAGGGUGACCGGCCACAUUGGGACUGAGGUACGGCCCAGACUCCUACGGGAGGCAGCAGUGGGGAAUAUUGCACAAUGGACGGAAGCCUGAUGCAGCAACGCCGCGUGCGGGAUGACGGCCUUCGGGUUGUAAACCGCUUUCGCCUGUGACGAAGCGUGAGUGACGGUAAUGGGUAAAGAAGCACCGGCUAACUACGUG